rnacentral:lncRNA from 1 species
AAAAAAAUAGGUUAAAAUUCAACAAAUAAAUUAAAAUCACCUUCAGCAUACAAUUAACAACCCGUAGUAUGGUAGACCUAAAAUUCAGAAGCCACAAGCUAUUAUCCAUGCUCACUAUCCAAUCCACCCACCGCAUAUCGAUGUACCACACCCACCGAAACACCAUUUCAUUGUCGGAAGCGUCGAGAAACAGAGCAGAAAAGCAUGACGAAAGCCGAUUCAUGAUACGAAAGUCAAUUCAACACUCUUCCAAUCAUAACAAGACAUGCACUACAACAGUUAACCAAAGAAAUAAUAGAAAUUGAGAACUCUCAGUCUGACAGAAGCAGCCAUGGAGAAACAACCAUGCGAAGAGGACAUGAGACAGUUCUUGACUAGUCAACAGCCUGCGAAAAUGAGGAUUACUGGAUGUGGCAGUAUAGUUUGGAGAUGCCAGCGUCCCACAAUGAGUCGUCCUCGCCAGAAGCAAAGCACGUGCACAAAUUGAGUUUCUUAGGCAAACACAUGUAUAACAGCUCACAAUUCACAACCUGUAUUUUAGUAGACUCAAAAUCUAGAACCCACUACCCAUACCAUUAUCCCAUCCACUCGCGAUGCAACACUCCCACCGAAACACCGUCCCAUCAUCAAAAGCACCCCAUCAUCAACCACAAGAAAACGAUAGACACCAUAAUAACAAGCAUGUAUAGAAAACAACAAAAAUUGAUGAGACUUUCAGUCUAACAGAAGCAACUAUAGAGAAAUAAGCACGCAAGGUGGAGAUGCAACAAUUCUUGGCUUAUCAGUAGUUGGUAGAAAUGGUGAUCACUGAAUGU